rnacentral:rRNA from 1 species
AGCGAACAGACGAGGAGCUUGCUCCUCUGACGUUAGCGGCGGACGGGUGAGUAACACGUGGAUAACCUACCUAUAAGACUGGGAUAACUUCGGGAAACCGGAGCUAAUACCGGAUAAUAUAUUGAACCGCAUGGUUCAAUAGUGAAAGACGGUUUUGCUGUCACUUAUAGAUGGAUCCGCGCCGCAUUAGCUAGUUGGUAAGGUAACGGCUUACCAAGGCAACGAUGCGUAGCCGACCUGAGAGGGUGAUCGGCCACACUGGAACUGAGACACGGUCCAGACUCCUACGGGAGGCAGCAGUAGGGAAUCUUCCGCAAUGGGCGAAAGCCUGACGGAGCAACGCCGCGUGAGUGAUGAAGGUCUUCGGAUCGUAAAACUCUGUUAUUAGGGAAGAACAAAUGUGUAAGUAACUAUGCACGUCUUGACGGUACCUAAUCAGAAAGCCACGGCUAACUACGUGCCAGCAGCCGCGGUAAUACGUAGGUGGCAAGCGUUAUCCGGAAUUAUUGGGCGUAAAGCGCGCGUAGGCGGUUUUUUAAGUCUGAUGUGAAAGCCCACGGCUCAACCGUGGAGGGUCAUUGGAAACUGGAAAACUUGAGUGCAGAAGAGGAAAGUGGAAUUCCAUGUGUAGCGGUGAAAUGCGCAGAGAUAUGGAGGAACACCAGUGGCGAAGGCGACUUUCUGGUCUGUAACUGACGCUGAUGUGCGAAAGCGUGGGAUCAAACAGGAUUAGAUACCCUGGU